AUUGAACGCUGGCGGCAGGCCUAACACAUGCAAGUCGAGCGGAUGAAGAGAGCUUGCUCUCUGAUUUAGCGGCGGACGGGUGAGUAAUGCCUAGGAAUCUGCCUGGUAGUGGGGGAUACGUUCCGAAAGGAACGCUAAUACCGCAUACGUCCUACGGGAGAAAGCAGGGGACCUUCGGGCCUUGCGCUAUCAGAUGAGCCUAGGUCGGAUUAGCUAGUUGGUGAGGUAAUGGCUCACCAAGGCUACGAUCCGUAACUGGUCUGAGAGGAUGAUCAGUCACACUGGAACUGAGACACGGUCCAGACUCCUACGGGAGGCAGCAGUGGGGAAUAUUGGACAAUGGGCGAAAGCCUGAUCCAGCCAUGCCGCGUGUGUGAAGAAGGUCUUCGGAUUGUAAAGCACUUUAAGUUGGGAGGAAGGGCAGUAAGUUAAUACCUUGCUGUUUUGACGUUACCGACAGAAUAAGCACCGGCUAACUUCGUGCCAGCCGCCGCCGUAAGAC
rnacentral:rRNA from 1 species